AGUUACCAGCACGUUAUGUGGGCACUCUAAGGAGACUGCCGGUGCAAACCGGAGGAAGUGGGGAUGACGUCAAGUCAUCAUGGCCCUUACGGCCUGGGCUACACACGUGCUACAAUGGUCGGUACAAAGGGUUGCCAAGCCGCGAGGUGGAGCUAAUCCCAUAAAACCGAUCGUAGUCCGGAUCGCAGUCUGCAACUCGACUGCGUGAAGUCGGAAUCGCUAGUAAUCGUGAAUCAGAAUGUCACGGUGAAUACGUUCCCGGGCCUU
rnacentral:rRNA from 1 species